AUUGAACGCUGGCGGCAGGCCUAACACAUGCAAGUCGAACGAGUGGCGGACGGGUGAGUAAUGUCUGGGAAACUGCCCGCUGGAGGGGGAUAACUACUGGAAACGGUAGCUAAUACCGCAUACCAUCGGAUCGGCCCAGAUGGGAUUAGCUAGUAGGUGGGGUAACGGCUCACCUAGGCGACGAUCCCUAUCUGGUCUGAGAGGAGGACCAGCCACUCUGGAACUGAGACACGGUCCAGACGCCUACGCGAGGCAGCAGUGGGGAAUAUUGCACAAUGGGCGGAAGCCUGAUGCAUCCAUGCCGCGUGUAUGAAGAAGUCCUUCGGGUUGUAAAGUACUUUCAGCGAGGAUGCGUUACUCGCAGAAGAAGCACCGGCUAACUCCGUGCCAGCAGCCGCGGUAAUUC
rnacentral:rRNA from 1 species